rnacentral:rRNA from 1 species
GAUGAACGCUGGCGGGGUGCCUAAUACAUGCAAGUCGAGCGAACGGACGAGAAGCUUGCUUCUCUGAUGUUAGCGGCGGACGGGUGAGUAACACGUGGAUAACCUACCUAUAAGACUGGGAUAACUUCGGGAAACCGGAGCUAAUACCGGAUAAUAUUUUGAACCGCAUGGUUCAAAAGUGAAAGACGGUCUUGCUGUCACUUAUAGAUGGAUCCGCGCUGCAUUAGCUAGUUGGUAAGGUAACGGCUUACCAAGGCAACGAUGCAUAGCCGACCUGAGAGGGUGAUCGGCCACACUGGAACUGAGACACGGUCCAGACUCCUACGGGAGGCAGCAGUAGGGAAUCUUCCGCAAUGGGCGAAAGCCUGACGGAGCAACGCCGCGUGAGGGAUGAAGGUCUUCGGAUCUUAAAACUCUGUUAUUAGGGAAGAACAUAUGUGUAAGUAACUGUGCACAUCUUGACGGUACCUAAUCAGAAAGCCACGGCUAACUACGGG